rnacentral:rRNA from 1 species
CCUACGGGUGGCAGCAGUGAGGAAUAUUGGUCAAUGGGCGCGAGCCUGAACCAGCCAAGUCGCGUGAGGGAUGAAGGUUCUAUGGAUCGUAAAACUAUUUUAUAAGGGAAUAAAGAGUGGGGCGUGUACUCUUUUGUAUGUACCUUAUGAAUAAGGAUCGGCUAACUCCGCGCCAGCAGCCGCGGUAAUCCGGAGGAUCCGAGCGUUAUCCGGAUUUAGUGGGGUUAAAGGGUGCGUAGGCGGUAUGUUAAGUGAGUGGUAAAAGGUCGGGGCUUCACCUUGCUUGGCCAUUAAAACUGGAGGACUAGAGUACAGACGAGGUAGGCGGAAUGAGUGAAGUAGCGGUGAAAUGCUUAGAUAUAGCGUAGAACCCCGAUAGCGAAGGCAGCUUACCAGACUGUUACUGACGCUGAAGCACGAGAGCGUGGGUAGCGAACAGGAUUAGAUACCCUGGUAGUC